rnacentral:rRNA from 1 species
UGCGUAGGCGGAUCAAUAAGUCAGUGGGGAAAUCUCUCGGCUCAACCGGGAAACUGCCAUUGAUACUGUUGAUCUUGAGUUCGGUUGAGGUAGGCGGAAUGUGUAAUGUAGCGGUGAAAUGCUUAGAUAUUACACAGAACACCAAUUGCGUAGGCAGCUUACUAGACCGACACUGACGCUGAGGCACGAAAGCGUGGGGAGCGAACAGGAUUAGAUACCCUGGUAGUCC